rnacentral:lncRNA from 1 species
UGCUCCCUCCCUAGAUCUUCCAUCCAGGAUAGUCCUGGAAAUGAUCUUGAUGCUAUCUGUUCCUCGUUACAGCAGACCUGCUCAACUUCAGCAGCUAGAAGGAGGAUUGUCUUUCACCAGCUGCAGGAGCCUGUUCCCACUACGAGCCUGGUGGAGUCUUCGGAGCAGAUGUGACUGUCCUACUUGUAUAGAGAAGAGAAACUGAGGCUCAGAAGAGAUGCCUGGCUGAGUUUAAUAGGACUGCAACAACAAUUUUGCCUUUCUACUUUCUGGUACAGUGGUCUUUCCUUUGCCAUCAUGCCUCAGCAUAUCCAUGUUAGUAAAUUCUCCCAGUUGGGGAAAAGCUUGGCAGCAAUGAAAGUUAAUGUGAUGAAUCAUUUAGAUGGACAGAUUGGAAAAAUGUUGUUCCUUUUGCAUGUGAUGUUCUUGCCAGAAAUCAAGUAGGUGGAGUUUUUGAAGCGUGAUCAGUUAGAUAAGUAUGGUGGUUUUAAAUAAUCAAGCAUGGAGCCAUACCGGUUAUGUUUAAUUUAUAACAAAAUCAGACAAUUCAGGCAUGAUGUUGAACUCAUUGAGCUUGGCUCACUACUACAUUUCUCUCACCAAAAGCAAUGACUAUAAAGAGUUACAAAUACCAUGACCUUAUAUCAUAAAGCAUAAAUUAUUCCAGGAAGUUUUCCAUUUAAGUCAACUUCUCAAAAUCUUAGGAGAAAACUACCAAUAUUCAGUUCAAACCCCAGAGGCUUAAGGAAAAAUAUUAAUGUUGAAAUAGCAAGUAAGUGGUAGUAUCCUCGCUGUAUGCACAAUUGCAUCUGCUCGGGGGUUAGUCUUUCUUUAGCUCCUGUCUACAACUCACACCAGUCUCCAGAUUGCAGCAAUAUACCCUUCAUUUGACCCAGUUUAUUCAUUCAAAAGAUACCUGGAGCCAAAACCAUGUAUGAGAAAUAGCAAAGGAAGAGGCAGGCACAAGCUGUGUUUAUAUACCCACCAAAGGACUACAGCAAAACACAUAUAUUCUAGUCAGCUCUGAGUGCACCUGUCUGUGUCAACAGUAGACCAGCGUGGUCUGGCAGAUGACCAUAUGACCCAGCUGAUUCACUCCGGAGUUAGAGGAACUUUUCCCAGACCCUGAAAGUCACCUUUUUAGACAACUUCGCAAACAGCCAUCCUUGUUCACGGACCGUUUGCAAAGAAAUUUCCUAAACAUCACCACUGAGGCUCCUUCCAGCAAUGACUCUGGUCCAUCAUUGGGAUUGCUGAGCAGCUGUUUCAUAACAUGAACAAGGAUGUUUUAACCAUGUUUCUUGACCUGGCCAUUUGGAUCCCAAGGAUGUUUUGGUCCAAGAAUAAAUUCCAGAGCUUAGCUCACCGAAGAAGACAGGAAAACUUGUCAGAUGGGGAAGGAUGUGUCAAGAGCAUGCACACAGAUUUACUCUUCAGCUAGAAGCUCCAAUUCCUAGAUGAUCUGAAUCCAACUCAGAGUGCUUGCACCUGUUUCCUGCCACACAGCUAGAGCUGUCCAGUGAGAGAGACAUGAUGGCCCAGCUUGAAAAAGAAAUUGAGGAUAGCAAGUGUAACAUACCAAGCAUUCCACGAGCAGUGUCCCUCUAGGUUCUCUGAUUGGCUGAAGCUACUCUAAGCCAAGAGAUCAAAGAAGCUGAUAAUGUAGAAUGUAAGUUUGUCUCCUGGGCCACAAUGGAAAGCAGAGACUGUAGCUGGAGGAGUGAAUAGAGGAUAUGCAGCUCUGGUAAUUCUCAGUACAAUUCCCAGUGGUCCACUCUGCAGAAUGAACCAAGUUCCAUUUUGCCCAACUUCUGGCAGUCCACAUUUGGACUGUGAGCUCACCUACAGAUAAAUCGUACGUGGAUUGAUGCAGUAACUGGAUUUGUAGCUGCUAAAUCUUAUUUAAGUGAGGACCUGUCCAGUACAUGUGAAGACCACCCAUCCACUGAAAGUGAUAAGUGAAGCUGAAUCAAUACUAGACUGAAUCAAUACUGAGCUGAAUCAAUACUUUCCCAAUUUUGAGGAAAUCUUGGAAAAUCUCUGAGAAAUGUGGUAGUAAUUAUUUUGAAGAAUUGGAAAACUUUAUAGCUGAUUAUGCUAUGUGUGGAAGAUACAACAGGAUUAUAAGAGAGAGAAGACAAUAUCCUUGCUGUGUCCAGAAGGCUUUAGCCGGGGUGUCCUACUGAGAGAUGACAAACUUAAGGUUUUUCUCUUCCCAGACAUUACUGGACAACUAGCUAUGUAAUUAGGUCUUAUGCCGAAAAGACUGAAAGGAAAACAUCUCAGAUCUAGGAAUGUGAUCAAGAAAGAAGGCUGGUUAAAGAAUAACAUGGGGAAAAUGAAUGCAGUGAAAUGGUUCACGCACAAGUUCUAGGAAUUCAGAGUGCAACAGCAGAAAUGCGAUUUUUGUUAGAUAUUUCAGAAAGUGAUGUGAGUCCCUGAGGUCAUACUGCAGCGUUCAGGUUCUGUUUGGCCUCCUGCACGAAGCUUUCCUUGAUUGGAAAAGCUGCAUACUCUGAAGCACAUCGCAUGUGUCCUGUCUGUAGUUCAUUUCAUUUCCCCAGAUUUGUUAUCAUCCACCAUCACUCAUACAAGCCUACCUUCUUCAUGCCAACCUUUGUAAUCUUUCUACCUUGCUAACCUGGUCAUGUCAAGGACCAGCUAAUAAAUAGCAAAGUUGUACCUUGAGCCAAGGUAUCUUGACUCUUAGUCCAGUGCUCUUUAUAUACCUCUGAAGUCUUAUUUGAGCUUCAAAAUUAUGAGUCUGUGCUCUCAAGAUUUUUUUGAAAAUGUACUUAAUGUUGCCCCUAAGCUUUUAUGAGAAAUAAUAAAGUUCUUUCCAGAUU